CAACAGGGAUUGCCCUAGUAACGGCGAGUGAAGCGGCAACAGCUCAAAUUUGAAAUCUGGCUCUUUUAGAGUCCGAGUUGUAAUUUGCAGAGGGCGCUUUGGCUUUGGCAGCGGUCCAAGUUCCUUGGAACAGGACGUCACAGAGGGUGAGAAUCCCGUACGUGGUCGCUAGCUAUUGCCGUGUAAAGCCCCUUCGACGAGUCGAGUUGUUUGGGAAUGCAGCUCUAAAUGGGAGGUAAAUUUCUUCUAAAGCUAAAUAUUGGCCAGAGACCGAUAGCGCACAAGUAGAGUGAUCGAAAGAUGAAAAGCACUUUGGAAAGAGAGUCAAACAGCACGUGAAAUUGUUGAAAGGGAAGCGCUUGCAGCCAGACUUGCUUGCAGUUGCUCAUCCGGGCUUUUGCCCGGUGCACUCUUCUGCAGGCAGGCCAGCAUCAGUUUGGGCGGUGGGAUAAAGGUCUCUGACACGUUCCUUCCUUCGGGUUGGCCAUAUAGGGGAGACGUCAUACCACCAGCCUGGACUGAGGUCCGCGCAUCUGCUAGGAUGCUGGCGUAAUGGCUGUAAGCGGCCCGUCUUGAAACACGGACCAAGGAGUCUAACAUCUAUGCGAGUGUUUGGGUGUCAAGCCCGAGCGCGUAAUGAAAGUGAACGGAGGUGGGAACCCGCAAGGGUGCACCAUCGACCGAUCCUGAAGUUUACGGAAGGAUUUGAGUAAGAGCAUGGCUGUUGGGACCCGAAAGAUGGUGAACUAUGCUUGAAUAGGGUGAAGCCAGAGGAAACUCUGGUGGAGGCUCGCAGCGGUUCUGACGUGCAAAUCGAUCGUCAAAUUUGGGCAUAGGGGCGAAAGACUAAUCGAACUAUCUAGUAGCUG
rnacentral:rRNA from 1 species